rnacentral:rRNA from 1 species
CGAGUACGAGACGCUAAGGCGUCGAAGUAGUGUAUGUCAGACUUCCAAGAAAAGCUCGCAAUGUCAUAUGAUAAAAAAUGCCUGUACCAUAACCGACACAGGUGGGUAGGUAGAGUAUACUAAGGGGCGCGAGAUAACUCUCUCUAAGGAACUCGGCAAAAUAACUCCGUAACUUCGGGAGAAGGAGUGCCUUAUUCUAUAAGGUUGCAAUAACAAGAUCCAAGCAACUGUUUAUCAAAAACACAGGUCUCCGCUAAGUCGUAAGACGAUGUAUGGGGGCUGACGCCUGCCCAGUGCCAGAAGGUUAAAGAAGUCGGUUAGCAUUAGCGAAGCUGGUAACUGAAGCCCUGGUGAACGGCGGCCGUAACAAUAACGGUCCUAAGGUAGCGAAAUUCCUUGUCGGGUAUGUUCCGACCCGCACGAAAGGCGUAAUGAUUUGGAUACUGUCUCGGAGAGGGGCUCGGUGAAAUAGACUUGUCUGUGAAGAUGCGGACUACCUGCACCAGGACAGAAAGACCCUAUGAAGCUUUACUGUAACUUGAAAUUGAAAUUGGACUUUAUUCGCGCAGUAUAGGUGGGAGGCGUUGAUUAUAAUCUUGCGGGAUUAUUGGAGCCAUCAGUGAGAUACCACUCUUGUAAUGUUAGAUUUCUAACUUUGAAUCAUUAUCUGGUCAAAGGACAGUUUCAGGCGGGCAGUUUGACUGGGGCGGUCGCCUCCUAAACGGUAACGGAGGCGUACAAAGGUUUCCUCUGAACGGGUAGAAAUCGUAUCUAGAGGGUAAAGGCAUAAGGAAGCUUGACUGUGAGACCUACAAGUCGAGCAGGGACGAAAGUCGGUCUUAGUGAUCUGACGGUACUGAGUGGAAAGGCCGUCACUCAACGGAUAAAAGUUACUCUAGGAUAACAGGCUGAACUCCCCCAAGAGUUCACAUCGACGGGGAGGUUUGGCACCUCGAUGUCGGCUCAUCGCAUCCUGGGGCGGUAGUACGUCCCAAGGGUUGGGCUGUUCGCCCAUGAAAGCGGUACGCGAGCUGGGUUCAGAACGUCGUGAGACAGUUCGGUCCAUAUCCGGUGUAGGCGUUAGAAUAUUGAGAGGAGCCUUCUUUAGUACGAGAGGACCGAGAAGGACAUACCUCUGGUGUACCAGUUAUCGUGCCAACGGUAAACGCUGGGUAGCUAUGUAUGGAGUGGAUAACCGCUGAAAGCAUCUAAGUGGGAAGCCCACCUCAAGAUAAGUAUUCUCAUC